rnacentral:rRNA from 1 species
ACAUCCAGAGAACUUAGCAGAGAUGCUUUGGUGCCUUCGGGAACUCUGAGACAGGUGCUGCAUGGCUGUCGUCAGCUCGUGUUGUGAAAUGUUGGGUUAAGUCCCGCAACGAGCGCAACCCUUAUCCUUUGUUGCCAGCGGUUCGGCCGGGAACUCAAAGGAGACUGCCGGUGAUAAACCGGAGGAAGGUGGGGAUGACGUCAAGUCAUCAUGGCCCUUACGGCCAGGGCUACACACGUGCUACAAUGGCGCAUACAAAGAGAAGCGACCUCGCGAGAGCAAGCGGACCUCAUAAAGUGCGUCGUAGUCCGGAUUGGAGUCUGCAACUCGACUCCAUGAAGUCGGAAUCGCUAGUAAUCGUAGAUCAGAAUGCUACGGUGAAUACGUUCCCGGGCCUUGUACACACCGCCCGUCACACCAUGGGAGUGGGUUGCAAAAGAAGUAGGUAGCUUAACCUUCGGGAGGGCGCUUACCACUUUGUGAUUCAUGACUGGGGUGAAGUCGUAACAAGGUAAGCGUAGUGCU